rnacentral:rRNA from 1 species
GACGAACGCUGGCGGCGUGCUUAACACAUGCAAGUCGAACGGAAAGGCCCUGCUUUUGUGGGGUGCUAGAGUGGCGAACGGGUGAGUAACACGUGAGUCACCUGCCCUUGACUUUGGGAUAACUUCAGGAAACUGGGGCUAAUACCGGAUAGGAGCUCCUGCAGCAUGGGGGGGGUUGGAAAGUUUCGGCGGUUGGGGCUGGACUCGCGGCUUAUCAGCUGGUUGGUGGGGUAGUGGCUUACCAAGGCUUUGACGGGUAGCCGGCCUGAGAGGGUGACCGGCCACAUUGGGACUGGGGUACGGCCCAGACUCCUACGGGAGGCAGCGGUGGGGAAUAUUGCACACUGGGCGGAAGCCUGAUGCAGCAACGCCGCGUGCGGGAUGACGGCCUUCGGGUUGUAAACCGCUUUCGCCUGUGACGAAGCGUGAGUGACUGUACUGGGUAAAGAAGCACCGGCUACCUACUU